rnacentral:sRNA from 1 species
UUUAAUCGCUGAAUCUAAAUUAGAGCGGGGGAACCAAUUUUGAUACAGUUUCUAAUUGUAUCUUGGGGUGAAUCUUACGUAGUAAGAGGGGGUACUCUCAAUCCCUAAUCCGACAGCUAACCUCGUAAGCGUUAUGU